ACAUAACUCUAAGUAAUUAUUUAGGGCGAAACCUGCUCAAUGAAUCAUUUAAAUAGCCGCGGUACCUUGACCGUGCUAAGGUAGCAUAAUCAGUUGACUUUUAAAUGAAGUCUGGAAUGAAUGGAUAAACGGGGUUAAGCUGUCUCAGUUCUUUUAUUUCGAAUUUACUAAUUAGGUGAAAAGGCCUAAAUAUGAAAAAAGACGAUAAGACCCUUAGAGCUUAUUAAAUAUUUUGUUGGGGCGACAAAGAAUCAUUUAACAUUCUUAGCUAAAUGUGUCGGAUUUUUCAUGUAUAGACAAGCUACCUGAGGGAUAACAGCAUUAUCUUUUUAGGUUUGUGACCUCGAUGUUGGACUAGGAAGCUUAUAGGCUAGCCGCCUAUUCUGGGGAUUCUGUUCGAAUUACUAACUCCUACGUGAUC
rnacentral:rRNA from 1 species